GCCGCUAGGCGUCUCUGCCUGUACAAACAAGAUCAGUGAGCUUCCUUGCGUUAGUAAGUUUUUGUUUGUGGUCGUUACAAGUUAAUUUGCGCAGAAAAUAUGACUAGAAAGUGGCCGUCGUACCUUGUCAUUCAUUUCUUAGAGUUAUAUGAGCAACGACCCUGUCUGUGGGAUCACAAAAGUCCUUUGUACAAAAAUAGGAAUUUGAGAGAAGAAGCGUUACAAGAAAUAGUUGAGGCUAUGAGUGAAUAUGUACGCAAUUUUGAUGUUAACAUGGCGAAAGCAAAAAUACGCAGUCUCCGGAAUGCGUACAUGUUGGAACUCCACAAGGUUUGGCGUUCAAACAGAAACGCAGAGUCUCCUGACGAUAUUUAUACCCCGACAGUGCCUUGGUUUCCUAUUGCUGACCGCUUCCUGAAGUACGUCGUUGAAACAAGAGAACCAAGAAGUCCUCAGGAGUUGGGAGACGGUGAGGGGAAGCCGAUGCCACAGGAGGGCUCGACGCUGGACGCGUCGUUCUUUGCGGAGGCGGCCCUGGGCAGCAGCAGUGUGCGGUCGCCUGCCGUCCCGAAUGGCGCGUCACGGGAGGACCCGCUGGAGGCAGCGCGCAAGCGCAAGAUCUCACUGCAGCGCGAGGAGCUCCCCAAGAAAUUAAAGCUGGUCAACAUCUCGGACACAGUGAGCAAGGCGGUGAGCUCACUGCAUCGCGCGGUGGACGCGAUGCAGCAGGUGGCGGCGCGGGGCGGAGGCGCGUCGGCGCCGUGUGACGAGUCGGAGGCGUUUGGCCGGGUGGUGGCGGCGCACCUGCGUGCACUGCCGGUGGCCACGGCACUGGAUUGCCAGGCCGACAUCCUCAACUAUCUGUUAGAGCAGCGGCGCAGUGCCCUGCCGGGGGCGGCAGGGGCGGCCGCUCCCGCGUCGUCGACGUGAGACGGCUGUGGUGCCUGUGUCUAGGCUGGUGCAGGAGUACCAGGAGUCAGGAUGCGGGGUACCCAUCGUGCACAGAUCUUCAGAUAGCCAAGCAAAGCAAUAAUGUGACCAACAUGUUCUUUUGAAACGCCGAUUGUGCUUGCAAUUUCUCUCUGAUAAUACGAUGACCGUCCUGAAUCAAUCUGUCAACAUUUUGCUCGCAAAACUCAGUGGUUGCUGUCACAGGAUGUCCAACUGUUUGUUUGUCGUGCAGACUGUCAAUGGACAAAUCAGAGGAGCAGUCGAUGUCAGAAUUAGGACAGUGUGGAGGGAGGAUACGGGUCAUUAGUGUUGUCGGCAGAGAGAGACGCACCUCGGUGAUCCAGUCGGAACAUUCAGAUGGCUGAGUGUGGCUGCGACUGGGACAACUUUACCGUCGUCUCCGUGUGUUGCUGCGUGUUUAAUUUAUUAUGAAUGCGUCGUGUGACAUUCUUUACAGGUUUGGACCUGGAGAUAUAUGUACGUUUCAUUUGUGGAGAGUGUGAAGUGGCUCGUUCAGGUGCCUUUCUGGAAGAAGACUGUGCAGUAGUGACUGAGCGUUAGGUCACUGCUAGUUAACAGUUUUGUAACUUUCUUUUUCACUUUUGUGCCACAUUGCUGUCAACAGAGUGAUACUGUUAUUUUUUUUCUUGCGACUAGUUUGUAAUAAAACUGAAUGAACAAUUUUACCACUUUA